GCUUACGGCCAUACGUCUCUGGCUCCGCCUGAUCUCGUCUGAUCUCAGAAGCUAAGCAGAGUAGGGCCUGGUUAGUGCUUGGAUGGAAGACCGCCUGGGAAUCCCAGGUGCCGUAAGCU
ensembl:rRNA 5S_rRNA 5S ribosomal RNA